GCCAGUGUGGCUUAGUGGGUUGAGUGUUACACUAUGUCUCUGGAGGCCAGGGUUUGAUUCCCAGCUUGCCA